rnacentral:rRNA from 1 species
UAGGGAAUCUUCCACAAUGGACGCAAGUCUGAUGGAGCAACGCCGCGUGAGUGAAGAAGGUUUUCGGACCGUAAAGCUCUGUUGUUGGUGAAGAAGGAUAGAGGUAGUAACUGGCCUUUAUUUGACGGUAAUCAACCAGAAAGUCACGGCUAACUACGUGCCAGCAGCCGCGGUAAUACGUAGGUGGCAAGCGUUGUCCGGAUUUAUUGGGCGUAAAGCGAGCGCAGGCGGAAGAAUAAGUCUGAUGUGAAAGCCCUCGGCUUAACCGAGGAAUUGCAUCGGAAACUGUUUUCUUGAGUGCAGAAGAGGAGAGUAGAACUCCAUGUGUAGCGGUGGAAUGCGUAGAUAUAUGGAAGAAUACCAGUGGCGAAGGCGGCUCUCUGGUCUGCAACUGACGCUGAGGCUCGAAAGCAUGGUAGCGAACAGGAUUAGAUACCCUGGUAGUCCAUGCCGUAAACGAUGAGUGCUAAGUGUUGGGAGGCUUCCGCCUGCUCAGUGCUGCAGCUAACGCAUUAAGCACUCCGCCUGGGGGAGUACGACCGCAAGGUUGAAAC